rnacentral:rRNA from 1 species
UGCAGUCGAGCGAACAGACGAGGAGCUUGCUCCUCUGACGUUAGCGGCGGACGGGUGAGUAACACGUGGAUAACCUACCUAUAAGACUGGGAUAACUUCGGGAAACCGGAGCUAAUACCGGAUAAUAUAUUGAACCGCAUGGUUCAAUAGUGAAAGACGGUUUUGCUGUCACUUAUAGAUGGAUCCGCGCCGCAUUAGCUAGUUGGUAAGGUAACGGCUUACCAAGGCAACGAUGCGUAGCCGACCUGAGAGGGUGAUCGGCCACACUGGAACUGAGACACGGUCCAGACUCCUACGGGAGGCAGCAGUAGGGAAUCUUCCGCAAUGGGCGAAAGCCUGACGGAGCAACGCCGCGUGAGUGAUGAAGGUCUUCGGAUCGUAAAACUCUGUUAUUAGGGAAGAACAAAUGUGUAAGUAACUAUGCACGUCUUGACGGUACCUAAUCAGAAAGCCACGGCUAACUACGUGCCAGCAGCCGCGGUAAUACGUAGGUGGCAAGCGUUAUCCGGAAUUAUUGGGCGUAAAGCGCGCGUAGGCGGUUUUUUAAGUCUGAUGUGAAAGCCCACGGCUCAACCGUGGAGGGUCAUUGGAAACUGGAAAACUUGAGUGCAGAAGAGGAAAGUGGAAUUCCAUGUGUAGCGGUGAAAUGCGCAGAGAUAUGGAGGAACACCAGUGGCGAAGGCGACUUUCUGGUCUGUAACUGACGCUGAUGUGCGAAAGCGUGGGGAUCAAACAGGAUUAGAUACCCUGGUAGUCCACGCCGUAAACGAUGAGUGCUAAGUGUUAGGGGGUUUCCGCCCCUUAGUGCUGCAGCUAACGCAUUAAGCACUCCGCCUGGGGAGUACGACCGCAAGGUUGAAACUCAAAGGAAUUGACGGGGACCCGCACAAGCGGUGGAGCAUGUGGUUUAAUUCGAAGCAACGCGAAGAACCUUACCAAAUCUUGACAUCCUCUGACCCCUCUAGAGAUAGAGUUUUCCCCUUCGGGGGACAGAGUGACAGGUGGUGCAUGGUUGUCGUCAGCUCGUGUCGUGAGAUGUUGGGUUAAGUCCCGCAACGAGCGCAACCCUUAAGCUUAGUUGCCAUCAUUAAGUUGGGCACUCUAAGUUGACUGCCGGUGACAAACCGGAGGAAGGUGGGGAUGACGUCAAAUCAUCAUGCCCCUUAUGAUUUGGGCUACACACGUGCUACAAUGGACAAUACAAAGGGCAGCGAAACCGCGAGGUCAAGCAAAUCCCAUAAAGUUGUUCUCAGUUCGGAUUGUAGUCUGCAACUCGACUAUAUGAAGCUGGAAUCGCUAGUAAU